AAAUAUCUAUUUAGUUGAUAAUUAAACAUGGGUAUCACCAUAUAAUAAGGACUCAAGAUCACAUCACUAUACAUUUUAUUUCAAAUGAUCCACAAAAUUAUUAUUAAAUAUUUAAUCAAUAUUUUUUAUUAUUACUGACAAGCUGUGCAUAUUGUGGAAGUUAAUUUGGAAACAAAAUCAUAGUUUAUGGCACAAGUUUUAAAAGAGUUUUCAUGGCAGCUACUGUGGCAGUCCAGAAAAUUUUGUGUUGUUACAUUAUUUUUAUUUGAAUUUUAUAAAAAUUGAAAUCGUUUCUUUUUCAUUACAUUUAAUAACACAUCACACAAAUACUUAUAAUGCUUCAUACUUAACCAGGCUUAGAAAAUUAAAUCAUCAAAACGUGUUUACGGAAAAGUAUGAGAAUUAGUGGUGGAUCGAGAAAGUUAAUGAGGGGUGCUAGCUAAGAUGAAUCUGAGUGAUUUCAUUGACAUGAAAAAAGAAUCAUAUUACAUAUUUAUUUAAAACUCUACCUUUUCUGCAAAUAAAUAUCGUAAACUAUAUUAAUUUGCUUGUUUAUAAUCGUAGUUCUAUCAUCUAUGUUAAAAAAGAAGAUUAAUUUAAGAGAACUUAACCUCAAAAAGUCCCUUUAAGCAAACUUCAACGUAUAAUUUUUAACUGUGUAACUUUACUCAUUUUUGAAUGAGCUUUUGAGGCUUGCCUAUAUAUUUUAAAUUUCUAAAGUUAUUUCUGUGCGUGAAAAAUAAUUUUAAGACUCCAAUAUGAGUAAUUAUCUAGUUAAUUUAGAUACAGAAAUUCCGGUAGUUUCGAGUAGCUACAAAUAAAAAAUAGCCUUGUGAGCAAUAUAUACUCGCGGUUAUUUUUAGUGAUUCAGACUUGAGCAUCAAUCCAGUGGACUUCGCAAAAAAUUACAUGUAUGAACAUUAUCAGUUAUUUAGUGUUAACCAAACUGAAGGUAUAUAAAAGUCUUGAUGCUCUUAAGUACUUUAAGGCAGGAUUUGUGAGUAACUUUGGAAAUUGAAAAGUUGUGGAUCACAUUAUAAUCAAGGCAAAAUAUGGAAUACGUCGAUGGUAUAAGAUACAAUAUAUCGUUGCCGUCCCUUUUGAAAGUCGAUUGUUGCUCAGCUGCUGAUACUUGAAUGUUGAUUCGCCUCUGUUUCUUACCCAGACUGCAAGAUAAGUUCUUCGAUACUUUUACAGGAGUCGAAAAACAUCCAGAAUAGUCAGUGCCCGCAGACUUAUAUAGUCAAAGGACAAGUUACAGAGGAAAGAAGAAUAAUUUAUCUCAACAAACAAAAGUGGAUAAUUCUCUAACAUACAGUCAGAGCUCUUCCAUAAUACUCGGUAAGUGUUUACUUUUAAAGUCGCAGAAGAAGUUAUUAAAAUCAUUUAUUAUUGGAACAAAAAUUUACAAUAAAUGAAAAUAUCUUGUUAGCAUAUAGUACCUGGGGUACAGGUAGUGCCAUAUGGUACUUUAAAGCGAGAUUAAGUGAGAAGUUGGUUACAGUAUUUUUAAACAAUAGUGUAUAGUGUCCUCUUUUGACAAGCUUUUAAAAAAGUUUUGCAGAAUUAGCUUCCGGAGUAACACUUUAAACCUGUUCACACUAAGAGUUCUAAUCUCUCUUGGCAACUGAUUGUAGUACCUUAGUCCUUGAAAUUCAAUCGACCUUUGGCCCAUUGUAGUUCCUGCUGAUGUGUGAUGGUCUGUUGAUCAGUUACACAGAAAAGAAGAAUAACUUGGUAAAUGCUUAUAUAUACAGCAAAGAAGAAAAAUCUAACCGAAUGAAUAAUACAAAGAACAAACACAAUCAAAACUCUUCUAGAAUAUUUAAUAACUUUAUACUAAUAUAGUCACAGGACGAGUUAUAGGAGAAAGAAGAAUAACUUAACCGACCAAACAUUUUUAAGAAAUAUUUUUCUGAUACAAUUGAAACUAUGAAAAUCCAAUAAGAAUAUUUAACUAACUACUUAUUUAAACAAAGAAAACUCUUCUGGAAUAUUUAAAGAGAGAAAGAGAGAGAGGUUCGUUGGUUUUUUUGUGGUUGGGAUGAGGAGGUUAUCCAUGUAAAGGAAGAGAUUUAUUUUGUUUGGACCUGAUGUUGGAAUUUCUCCUCUGCAGAGUUGGAGUUAUGGUAGACGGUAGACUGGUGUGUACUGCAUUAGGACGAAAAAGAAAACUGAAGCUAACAAUGGAAAAGAGAAAGAAAUGCCAGAUACAAAAAAGAAAAACCUCUUUUUCCAGAUAUUGGAGGUGUGUUGUUUAUUUGUUUUUGUUUAUAUUUUCUAAUGUUUUUUUCGUAUCUUCUAUAUUUCUUUGUUUAUCUAGGUAAACGGGUAAUUGGGUGCAUUAUUCCCUAUCGUCGGCCAUUUUAUUGAUGGAACGUUUCACCAGGUUACAGGAAAACCGCAUAAAACCUGCAACACCGACGAUGGACGAGGUGAGCUUUGGAAAUGGGUGUCAUAUAAUGGCCAUGGAGAAGUUAUCUAGAAAGUUCUUGAACAGGGGUGGGUAAAAACCGGCCCGAAGGCCGGAUUCUGUCCCGGCUCGUUGAGAAAUCCCGCAUGCAAUUUUUUUAUCCUUAAUAUUUGUUUUUGGCAAAAAACUCCAUCCACAACAUUCGUGCGUCCAUAGCAUACGAUCCCAGGCCCGAGAUACAUUUUGAAAAUCUCAUUAUGGCCCGCACUUAGAAGUAUUUGCCCGCUUCUGUUCUAAAACAUUCGAUAACUUGAUACUUAUAUAGUCAUACAACAAGUUACGGGAGAAACUUAACAGACCGAAGAGUUUCAAGAAAUAUUUUUUUAAUAUAAUUUAAACACAUAAAGAAUAUUUGACUGUUAUUUCUAAGAAUAUUCGAUUAUUACAAAUAUAAAUAGUCGUAGGUAAAUUGAAUAAAAAAGAAGAAUCUAUAAAACUA